rnacentral:rRNA from 1 species
GGUAUUUUGACUAUACGAAGGUAUUGAAAUAAGGCUUUAAUUGAGUGCUAAGAGAAUGGUUUAACAAAAAUUAUCUUUCUUUAAAUUUAAAAUGGAAUUUGAUUUAAAAAUGAAAAAGUUUUUAUGAGAUUUUGGGACAAGAAGACCCUAUGAAUUUUUUCAAAAAUUUUAUUUUGGGAAUUUGAUAGAGAAUUAAAAAUAGAGUUUUUGAUUGGUUGGGGUGACUUUUAAAGAAUAAUUAUCUUUAGAAAAAGGAGGAAUUGGAUCCUAAAAUUUGGAAUAUUUAAAUAAAAUACUCUAGGGAUAACAGCGUUAUUAUUUUGGAUAGUUCAUAUAGAUAGAAUAGUUUGCGACCUCGAUGUUGGAUUAAGAUUCUUUUAUAAUGGAGCGGUUAUAAGAAGAAGUUUGCUCAACUU